AGGAGGAGGAGAAGGGUAUGUAAGCGAGGGAGAAGGUGCAGACACUUUAGCACCAGCACUAGGAGACACGGGUUCCCCUCCGCAGAAGGUCCAGCUUUUCCUGCGUUUCCAAAUUAACUUUGCUGGAAAAAAACCCCAGCGAGUGGUCUGGCCGUGUGGGAGGAGAAACCGGGGGGCCACACUGAGUUUCUGACCGGAGCAGAGCUAGAAGAGUGAAAAAGCCAGGCAGAGCGAAAAAGAGGAGAGACGGCAGCUGGCUCCGGGGGGAGAUCGUGCCAGUGGAUGCUGCCGCCGGACGCAGUAUCAGGUUUCAGAAAAUGAGAGCCCACUGCAGCGGCAUUCCUGCAAGGUCCCUCCGGCUGAGCGAGGCGUUUUUUGAGGAUGCCGGCUGCUGACACCAUGACUGGUGGGCGGGCACUUCUGUUCUGCACAAACGCUGACAACUGUAUCUACCAAUCGGUCAACGGACUCCACUGCUGUGGUUGGAAGCUCAGGGAGGGUCACUAUACUGCCUCUCAGUGGCCGAACCUGUGCGGCGACGGAGAAGCCAAGCCCCACUUUGGCCCCUUGGACGACCCAAGUGACAACCUGAGGUGCGCUGCCAUGCUUGCCCACAAGAGGGCCUCGGACCCCCGGGCCAACGAGAACGGCCUGACCGGUGGCAUCAAGCUCUCAAAGGCACCAGUGGCUCUGAAAAGCAGUCCCAGCAUUCGGGAUAAAAUCUCCCAGUGGGAGGGCAAGAAGGACACCACGCCCCCCCCCUCAUCUCCUUGCCUGCUUAUACCUCCAGGGAAGGAGCCGGAUAUCACAAGGAGGGACACCAAACCUGCUGAACUUCACAGGGGGGACAGUAAGAAGUUUGUCAGCUGGGAGAGGCAGGACUCUGGGAAGGAGAAUGCAGGAAAGGUGGGGGAUUUGCGGCCUAAAUCUCCUGAAGGGCCCGUGAAGGACAGGGAGGGCAUUUUGGAGAAGGGCAGCCGGGGCAAAUCGAGCGAAGCUGACCGGGACAAGCGACUGGUUUUGACUCACAUCAAAAAGCUGGAGCAGGCCAUGAAGGAAGGGCCUAGCAAACCCGCCCUGGUGUUCCCUGGGAACUAUUUCAGCCCCCCCGCCAAGGAGGAGCAGGAGGAGGCCGACAGGAAGGCGGCGGAGCCCAUCUUCGGGACGCUGGACAUCGUGCGGCCCGGCGAGGCCCGUAGGGAGCGGCACCUGGAGAACGUGUACACCGAACCCGGGGAGCCUUCCGUUAACCCCCUCCCCAAGCCUCAGCGCACAUUCCAGCACCACACCCGGCCUGGCACCCCCGGCUCACCCCUGGUGUCGGGGAAGGGACGCAGAAAUCUGCCACCUUUGCCCUCCAUUCCCCCCCCCCCUCUGCCCACCUGCCCCCCACCUGGGGUCAAUAGGAGGCCCUGGGCAGACAGAACCAGAAACAGCAGCAACAGGAAGUCCUAUGAGUUCGAGGAUCUGCUGCAGUCGUCUACAGACGGAAGCCAGGUGGACUGGUACGCGCAGGCCAGGCUGUCCCUUUCACGCACUUUAUCUGAGGAGAACAUCUAUGAGGACAUCCUCGACCCUCCAUCCAAGGAGAACCCAUACGAAGACAUAGACCUGGAAAGUCGUUGCCUUGGAAACAAGUCCCCCCUUGCUCUGUCGCCCUCGUCUCCCAUCCCCGACACCCCAACCAAGUUGUCGUCCAAGCCCAGUUUCUUCCGUCAGAAUUCUGAGCGACGGAGCUUUAAGCUGCUGGACCUGCGCAAAGGACACCGGGAAGGGGGUAUCGCCUCGCCCCCCAGGAUUAGCCCCCCAUCCACGCCCAGCAGCCCCGACGACACCCCCUCACUCUCGGGGGACCCCUAUAACCGUCGGCGCAGGAAAAUCCCCAAGCUGGUGAUGAAGAUUAACGGCAUCUUCGAGGCGCGGAGGGGAAAGAGACGUAUGAAGCGGGUGUCCCAGUCUGCGGAGUCCAGCUCGGGGAGAGUGACGGACGAAAACAGCGAGUCUGAGAGCGACACCGAGGAGAAGCUGAAAGCUCACAGCCAGCGGCUGGUGUCGGUCCAGUCCAUGAUCAAGCAGACGUGCCGGUACCGUACGCUGGAGCGCGACCUGAUGGACCUGACCGAGCGCAAGCUCUUUGAGUACUUCCUGGUGGUAGCGCUGCACAAGGCCAAGGCGGGGGUGCCGUACCUGCCGGAGGUCACUCAGCAGUUCCCCCUCAAGCUGGAGCGCAGCUUCAAGUUCAUGCGGGAGGCGGAGGACCAGCUGAAGGUCAUUCCCCAGUUCUGUUUCCCCGAUGCCAAGGACUGGAUGCCUGUCGACAACUUUGCCAGUGAGACAUUCUCCUUUGUGCUGACCGGGGAGGACGGCAGCCGGAGAUUCGGAUACUGCCGCCGUUUGCUGCCUAGUGGGAAGGGGCGACGGCUGCCUGAGGUCUACUGCAUUGUGAGCCGGCUGGGCUGCUUCGACCUCUUCUCCAAGAUCCUGGAUGAGGUGGAGAAGAGGCGGUCUCUCUCCCCUGCCCUGGUGCAGCCCUUCAUGAGAGGCGUCUUGGAGGCACCGUUUCCCGCCCCAGGCCGCACCAUCACCGUCAAGAACUUUCUGCCGGGCUCUGGGACCGAGGUGAUCGAGUUGUGCUGGUUCUCAGCUCGACCAAUCCUGUCUCUCCCCCCGUGUCAGGUGAUCGAGUUGUGCCGGCCCUCAGAUUCCCGGCUGGAGCAUGUGGACUUUGAGUGCCUGUUCUCCUCACUAAGCGUGCGUCUCCUCCUGAGGGUCUUCGCCUCCCUGCUGCUGGAGCGCAGGGUCAUCUUCACCGCCGAGAAACUGAGCACCUUGUCUAAGUGUUGCCACGCUAUGGUGGCUCUGCUCUACCCCUUCGCCUGGCAGCACACCUAUAUCCCAGUGUUGCCCCCCUCCAUGAUGGACAUUGUCUGCACCCCCACCCCGUUUAUCGUGGGACUGCUGUCCAGCUCUCUGCCGCGGCUCAAAGAGCUGCCCAUUGAAGAGGUCCUGGUGGUUGACCUCGGCAACAGUCGCUUCCUUAAACAGCUGGAUGACGAGGACUCCAUCCUGCCCCACAAACUGCAGGCUGCUCUGGAGCACGUCUUGGACAGGAGGAAAGAAUUAGCCUGCGAGAAAGCUGAGCACCCCAGCGACUCCUGCUCCCUGAGCACCGUGGUCUCCGAAGCCUUUGUGCGCUUCUUUGUGGAGAUGGUGGGCCACUACCCGCUCUUCAUGAGCGCCGUGGAGCGUGACGACGAGUCCUCAGCUUCCUCAUCCCCCACGCCCUGCUCGUUCCAGCGUGAGGCCUUCCGCAAGGCCAUCGGCUCCAAGAGUCUGCGCCACUUCCUCGAGGUCUUCAUGGAGACCCAGAUGUUUACAGGCUUCAUCCAGGAGAGAGAACUGAGGCGACAAGGCCUGAAAGGUCCCAUAUUCCGCCGCCCAACUGUGAUGUUAUGUGUGUUUGUACUGCCAGCUGAGAUCUUGGGUGUGUUUGGGUGUUUCUUUCUAGCAGAUGCCUCUACUAACGUCCAGCUCCUCAGUUAAGUAAAGAGUAAAGUUCUCCUAAGACUGAGGGCCAUUUGUAAUUGAUUACUGGAGAAUAGUUGGUAGGCGUUUCCGGCGAGUGUGGCACCAAGGCUCAGUAUGUAGCACUGACUUCUAACGCCUUCAGGGGCUGGGGGGUUUGCAGCCCCCUGCCCUCUGUGUGUGCAGUUUGCUCUCCCAACUUGCCCCUAAGAUGUGACUGUAUAUGUGUAUGUGCGCUGGGAUGGACUGGCAUCCCUGUCCAGGACGGACACCAGCCUUGCUCCCUAUGCCUAAGAUAGACUUCCAUGACGCUGACCAGGAGAAGUGGUUAGGAGAUGGAUGGACGGAAAAACGAAUAAAGACAAACUCAAUGCCGCAGUCUACAGGGAACACAUUCUGGAGUUCUGACUGGGACAGCGUGUUCUGCCAUCAUUAACGGACCAGCAAAUUAUGGGAUUUCCCAUGGAAGAAUGGUGCUACGUCUACCCAGUAGUUUCAGAAACUUGUAGAAUCUGUGCCAUGAUUUAGUGAAGCUGUUCUGAGGGGGUCUGUGGUGUCCCGCUGCCCCAUUAAAUGUGUGUGCAGCAUGUUGCUCACUUGGAACUUCACAGCUGGAACUUCUGAGCUGUUGUUGACGCCAAGGCCACAACUUUGGUCUCAACACUGGUAGCGACCAAAUCAACCCCUAGACACAUGCAGUACUCUCACAGUACUCUCACAGUCGCUGUCAUCCAUACCCAAACUACUCCUUUGCUAUACACUUAGAAACAACUUUUAAUAACAAGUUCUUAGACUGUCUUAAGUCACUGUCUCUUCCUGUCUUAGGACUGAAACAAACAACUUUUGCAGUACUGACAGCUGUGUUUCUCCUGCUCCAGGUCUGUUUGAAGUCCGAGCCCAGGAUUACCUGGAUUCUCUGCCUGGAAGUGAACAUCGUGGGGUCAACAAGUUCUUCAAAGGUCUAGGUAAUAAAAUGAAAUUCCUGUCCAAAAAAUGAUGGCUGGAAUCGGAGCCAAAGAGCCAAUAAGCUAAGAGAAAAUUCAACACUACUCGCUCGUGGACGUCAGAUCCGUGAAACUCACUGACCAGCAAGGAAAUGAUGAACAUAUUCAGCUGGGCUGCGCAGUCAGUGGGGACGGCGAGCAUGUCUGCGCAGACGCAUGCAAGCUGCAUUUGGAACAACCGGAACACAAACGACGGUGGAUUGUUAUGACUCGGCUGAACUACCAUAUUGUGCAAAAAUUGCAGAUUCUUCCGACCACAUUAAGGAAAGAAAAUAGACUGAGAGACUCGCUGCAGCCGGGACAGAAUCACGCCCUGUGGACGAAUCACCCCGCUGUCAGCAUUCCGUCGGAAAUGGACGCAGAAGUGUAGCUGUUCUCCCUAUGUCAACUCGGCACUAUCUCCGCGAGCAAAAACUUGUUCAAAUCGGGUUUUUGUCAAGGACGAUUUUAUAUUCAGCAUUUUUAAAAUACCUAUUUUAAUAAGAAAAGGUUUUACGUCUUAAAACAGUACAACUUCUACGAAAACGGGAGGCUAUGGUUUAAUUUAUAUCUUUUUAGAAUAACUAUCUUUGCCAAAACAGAAUUGAAGAAAAAAAAACGGUUUACCUUAUUACUUAUUUAUGGGCCUGUUCUGCAAAUCUCUGUCACGAUCAACGUAUCAUGCAGAAAAAAACGAUGGCCGAGUCUCUUCAAAGACAGGAAAAUAGUCCAGUUAUUUUUGGACGGACCUUAUUCAUGCCUUCUUUGAUAAACUUUACGUUAUUGAUCCAAAGAUACUUUGAUGGAGUGUGAUUCCAUUUUCAAGAAGCGGUUAUUGCUCGUUAUUAAUGUUUCCGAAGACCACUAAGUCUGUCAUACACUCCUUUUGGGAAGCAAUGAAAUCGCAUUAAUAAAAUGAUUUACAGAAAGAAA